AUGGAAUCCAAGGAAGGAGCCACUAAGGAAGAGGAUUAGUGUGAAAAAGAGGAAACAGGUAUCAGUUGCAGAUAGCUUCUUGGUGCUGGAACCCCACCCUGGCUUAAACCAUUUUUGAGAGGGAGACUUAGAGGUAAGCUCUCCUCACACUAGAGCCCAGUCUGGCCUGGGACAUUCCGUGCAUCUGGGAUGGCCGUGAACACUCGACAGUCCUCAGCUUUCAGCUCUCCGAGUGCUGGGAGCACAGGUAUG
rnacentral:lncRNA from 1 species